rnacentral:sRNA from 1 species
CGAUUGCAUUGUACCUAUUCAGGUUAUUCAGAAUGGAGAAGCAAGUGUUAAAUUAAAAACAAUUAGCCACCAACACAACAAACAUCAAUAUUGUUGCCAAUAUCAAUCAAUUAAAUUUUAAAUCAUAAUUCCGUCUUGCAUUUCUUCUCCAAUUUUUGUUUGUUCUAAUUAACAAAAAAUAAACAAAUACACACCUAUCUAUGUAUGCAUAGGUAUACUUUAAUUUGAGAAAAUAUGAGAGAGAAAUCUCCAGGCUUUCGAAGGCUAAAUAACUACAGAAAAUUAAACAGACGCUGAUAUAUUCAUCAGCAGCAAACAAACGAGCAGGCAGAUUUGGAAAGUGCUCAUGGAUUAACUUGAAAAGACCGACUCUUACCGACAACGAAUACUACCACCGACUUCGAAUACUACCUACAAAAUUUUGGGAUAAAUUAACUUUAGUCUUUUUUUUUGGGUCAAAGGCCCAUGGACCCUCCUAGGGGUCAUAAACUCCCCCUCAAUGGAAAGUGCUGGUUCCUAUGCAAUACGGAUAUCAAACGAAAGGUAUAAACGAUUAUAUUACAAAACUGCCUAAAAAUCUGACCUGGCAUGGAUCCAAAAGGUCUUAAGGUAGUGAACUCUUAACCAAGGCAAUGUGGGUAUGAAGUGAAAAAAAAUAUUUUAUACUCCUUGAUUAUAGUAUAGAUCGGAUUUGGGCAUUACUAUCAUGUCUGCAAAUUAAGGUCUUGAGCACAUUAAUCCCGCAUUAUUACCCGUUUUCGACGAAUUUUUGAACUAUGACCCCUUCUUGUUUGUGCAGAAUACAGGUCGGGACAGGUUAAUAUAUAACUUCCAUAUAAACUACUAUGACGUUAAAAAUUGGAACUUAUCGGGUAAUACAUGUGUCUUUUAUAGAUUCUAUGAGGAAUGAGUUUUGAUGUGGAAUUGCAGAUUUAUUUCGCUGUAUGAGAGGCUACCCAUAAAAGCAUGAAUGUUGCACUGAAUAUGGUAUUAAAAUCGACUUAGAUUUUAAUGCCAUGAUAGGAACGCCCAAUUCCUUUCGACCAACGGCCGAAAAAUUCACCUUUCACGAGGAAACGGUCGUUAAUGGAUUUAGACUAAAAUACUAUUUAAGAUGGAAUUACCAGAUGUCAAUAUCGUUUUAUUUACAAAGCCAGAUAGAUCAUGGUGUUAGACUUACGAUCAGUCCUAGGAACGAACUUCUAUUCGAAUCUCUAAUUUUAUGGAGCGAAGGUUAAAGCCCGCCUAAGCGUACCGAGAAAGCAACAAAUGGGCUGUCACUGUAAAUUUCUUCAGCAGACUCAACAUUUUCAUCAUGGAUAAAUACACGAACGGAUAAGUCUGCAAAUUAUAAAAAUUUACAACCAAAAUUAUAAGUCAGUGAUAGCUACGUUAAGAGUGUUAAUUAUCUUCAGUGACGAAGAAAAUUUUCGUCUUAAUGGGUUCAUCAGGAGAAAAUCCCCAUGCGCUUCACGAAUCAACACUUCAUCUGCAAAAAUAACUGUUUUGUGCGGUUUGCAUGCCGGCGGCGUCAUUGGGCCAUACGUCUUCGUCCGAUGCCAAUCGCCUGGGCGACAUGUGGUUUCAACAAGACGUUGCCACAAGCAACAGAGCACACGUACCACUCGAUUUAUUGAAGAGUAGGUUUGAUGUGCGUGCUAUCUCAAGAAGUGGCCCAAUCGAUAGGCCGCUUCGUUCGUGGGAUUUGAAGGUUCUAAACUAUUUUGUUUGGGGCUAACUCAAGUCAUUGGUUUAUGGCAACAAGCCGACGACGUUGGAAGAGCACAGAGCCAACAAUGAAUGGGAAAUAACGACCGUUUAGGUUGAAAUGUAUGCCCCAGUAAUCCAAAAUGGAGUCCAACGUAUUGACAGAUGUAAACGUGCCCGCGGUGGCCAUAUAAACGAAGUUGAGUUCCAUUCAUAAAUGUUUUGAUUGUACUUCAAACCAAUAAUAAAAAUGCAAAUUUGUCCAUGAACAAUCCAUCAAGGAACAGAGGCAAACUUCUCACAUAAUACGAUAAUAAAACAACUUUCAAGCGCUUAUUAGAAAACCCGAUAUUCGAGUAUUUUACUAUUUUAAACCAUUUUCUAUGAUAUACCAAAUAUAUUUAAUGGCUAAUACAAUAAAAA